rnacentral:rRNA from 1 species
CACACUGGGACUGAGACACGGCCCAGACUCCUACGGGAGGCAGCAGUGGGGAAUUUUCCGCAAUGGGCGAAAGCCUGACGGAGCAACGCCGCGUGAGGGAUGAAGGCCUUUGGGCUGUAAACCUCUUUUCUCAAGGAAGAAGAUCUGACGGUACUUGAGGAAUAAGCCACGGCUAAUUCCGUGCCAGCAGCCGCGGUAAUACGGGAGUGGCAAGCGUUAUCCGGAAUUAUUGGGCGUAAAGCGUCCGCAGGCGGCCGUUUAAGUCUGUUGUUAAAUCGUGGAGCUCAACUCCAUCACGGCAAUGGAAACUGUUCGGCUUGAGUAUGGUAGGGGCAGAGGGAAUUUCCGGUGUAGCGGUGAAAUGCGUAGAUAUCGGGAAGAACACCAGUGGCAAAAGCGCUCUGCUGGGCCAUUACUGACGCUCAUGGACGAAAGCCAGGGGAGCGAAAGGGAUUAGAUACCCCUGUAGUCCUGGCCGUAAACGAUGAACACUAGAUGUUGGGGGAAUCGACCCCCUCGGUGUCGUAGCUAACGCGUUAAGUGUUCCGCCUGGGGAGUACGCACGCAAGUGUGAAACUCAAAGGAAUUGACGGGGGCCCGCACAAGCGGUGGAGUAUGUGGUUUAAUUCGAUGCAACGCGAAGAACCUUACCAAGGCUUGACAUCCUGCGAAUCUCUAAGAAAUUAGAGAGUACCUUCGGGAACGCAGUGACAGGUGGUGCAUGGCUGUCGUCAGCUCGUGUCGUGAGAUGUUGGGUUAAGUCCCGCAACGAGCGCAACCCACGUUUUUAGUUGCCAGCAUUCAGUUGGGCACUCUAAAGAGACUGCCGGUGACAAACCGGAGGAAGGUGUGGACGACGUCAAGUCAUCAUGCCCCUUACGCCUUGGGCUACACACGUACUACAAUGCUGCGGACAAAGAGUAGCGAUCUUGCGAAAGUUAGCUAAUCUCAUAAACCGUGGCUCAGUUCAGAUCGUAGGCUGCAACUCGCCUACGUGAAGGAGGAAUCGCUAGUAAUCGCAGGUCAGCAUACUGCGGUGAAUACGUUCCCGGGCCUUGUACACACCGCCCGUCACACCAUGGAAGUUGGCCAUGCCCGAAGUCGUUACUCUAACCUUUUGGAAGAGGGCGCCGAAGGCAGGGCUAAUGACUGGGGUGAAGUCGUAACAAGGUAGCCGUAGCGGAAGCUGCGGCUGGAUCACCUCCUAA